rnacentral:pre_miRNA from 1 species
GGAAUAUAACAAACCGUCUCUUAUCUUUUAAUUAAAAAAACUAAUUAAGAACCGACUCUUAAAUAAGAUAUUUAAGAGCCAGUUCUUAAUUAGUUUUUUAGUUAAAAGGUAAAAGAUGGUUUUUUAUAUUCU